UGGGGAAUCUUGCACAAUGGGCGAAAGCCUGAUGCAGCGACGCCGCGUGCGGGAUGAAGGCCUUCGGGUUGUAAACCGCUUUCAGCAGGGACGAGGCCGCAAGGUGACGGUACCUGCAGAAGAAGCCCCGGCUAACUACGUGCCAGCAGCCGCGGUAAUACGUAGGGGGCAAGCGUUAUCCGGAUUCAUUGGGCGUAAAGCGCGCGUAGGCGGUUUGUUAGGUCAGGAGUUAAAUCUGGGGGCUCAACCCCUAUCCGCUCCUGAUACCGGCAGGCGUGAGUCUGGUAGGGGAAGGCGGAAUUCCAAGUGUAGCGGUGAAAUGCGUAGAUAUUGGGAGGAACACCAGUAGCGAAGGCGGCUUUCUGGACUGCAACUGACACUGAGGCACGAAAGCGUGGGUAGCAAACAGG
rnacentral:rRNA from 1 species